GCGCUUACCACUUUGUGAUUCAUGACUGGGGUGAAGUCGUAACAAGGUAACCGUAGGGGAACCUGCGGUUGGAUCACCUCCUUACC
rnacentral:rRNA from 4 species